GUUUCCAGGAAAACUGAAUUUUUGUGAAUUGAGCUAUCCAUCCAGUCAUCUCCACAACACCGAUAUUUAAAGAUAAGCAGACAUACGGAGAGGAGGCGUUGGCAAGCCACACCUAAGACUGUGCCAGAAAUCUCAAGUACUCUCCAAGUGGAGCCUGGUUUUGCACUUUCCUGUCCUUCCUGUCUUCCUGAAAGAGGGAGACUCAGGCAUCAGCAGCAACCUCCUCUUGACCCUUCCAGAUCUCUUCCCGGGGAAGGUUGAUGCUACCUUUCAAAGCAGGAGGAAGAUCUCGCUGAUGCCCAUGACAUGACUCCUGCCACCCCAUGCCUCAUAGCAUUACAUGUGGUGUCAGAGUUGGUGACUGACCCACUCUGUCAUGGACUCUUUUCUCCCAGCCACCUUGUCAUAGAGCAGAACUUGAUGUGUGAGGACCCAGGCCUGGGAGGGAAUCUCCAUGGAAGGAAGCCACACUUCUCCGCCAUCCAUGCCUCAGGUGACCAGCUCCUGGGCCCUCUGAAUCUCAGCCUACAUCCUGGAGCAGGUGCUUUCUGGGAUCUGCUUACACAUGCACAGGGCUGAAUCUGACUCAAUAUGAUAAUAGGGAAGAUAGGUGCGCUUACAUCACAUAUCCCAGGGAACCUCUCUGCCAAGUCACACGUACUGCCUCCCAUGACCCAGUCCUCACUGCGGAUCUACACGACAGACCCUGCUCCAGACCUGGAGCCAAGUGGUGCAACUCCCCAUGUGUCAGAAGUGCCAUCUGGGACGCACUGUUGGAAACCUGGGCUCUGCAGCACCCUCCGCUUCCUGCCUGCCACACCUUCGUGUGCACAGUCAGGGCCUGAAAGUCUGCAUCCAUUCAUCUCUUCCAGUCCCAGAUCACACCUGGACAACCCUGCUUUGUAUCUCUAGUCCAUUACACAUCCCGGUUCUCCUGGACUAAGAUACCUGUAGGCAUUAAUACAAAACCCAAAGCACCGAUCUGGAAAAGGUUAGAUUCUCCAAAACAAAUAGUGGCAUAUGUUCUUUCCUUGGUAGCCCUGCAGUGAGUAUAGAUUCCGUCUGCCACCCAGAGUCAGGGGCACCUCUGUCCUUGAAGACCUGGCCUUGCCUAUAGUAUUACUGGGGACAAGAAGUUAGGUGGGCUCUAUUGUCUCCAUGUUGAGGGUCAUUCUUCAUGGUCACCAAGUUCUCUCUGACAUCUCAGCAAAUCAACCCUCCGCUUUGACAGCAAAAUGGGCAAAUGUGGAAAAAAUCUACUCCUUGAACCCCCAUCCACCAUGAAGCAAUGGACUCAGCCUCAUCUUGGUCCGGGACUCAGUGGCAGCCCAUAUCAGGCAGGUUAAUGUACCGUCACCCAUGUCCCCUUCAAAAAUUCUGCCAGAGUGCGAAUUAAAUGCGGCACAAAGUGCAAACUCUUUCAUUUCUGUUUUACGCAAGGGUUGAAAUUUCAGAUGGAAAUUGCUCAGAGUUGUGAUUUUUGAACUGAAGAAAAGGUGAAAAUUUGUUAGCAGUCUUAGCAGAGUAGUGUGAAAUCUUUUUAAAUGAUAUUAGAAUUAAUAUUUUUCUCACCC
rnacentral:lncRNA from 1 species